AGCGCAUCUAUUAGAUUAAAACCAAUCGGGCCCAGCCCGUCAAUUGGUGACUCUGAAUAGCUAUGGCUGAUCGCAUGGUCUCGUACCGGCGACGUAUCUAUCAAGUGUCUGCCUUAUCAACUUUCGAUGGUAGUUUAUGUGCCUACCAUGGUUGUAACGGGUAACGGAGAAUAAGGGUUCGACUCCGGAGAGGGAGCCUGAGAAACGGCUACCACAUCCAAGGAAGGCAGCAGGCGCGCAAAUUACCCACUCUCGGCAUGAGGAGGUAGUGACGAAAAAUAACGAGACCGUUCUCUUCGAGGCCGGUUAUCGGAAUGGGUACAAUUUAAACCAGUUAACGAGGAUCUAUGAGAGGGCAAGUCUGGUGCCAGCAGCCGCGGUAAUUCCAGCUCUCAAAGUGUAUAUCGUCAUUGCUGCGGUUAAAAAGCUCGUAGUUGGAUCUGCGCCUUAGGACCUGGUCCGUCCUUUGGACGAGAACUGGGCGCCUAGGCUAAUAAUGUCGGUUGCAAAUUGAUUGAUCCCUGUGUUACCUUGAUUGGUUGCAUAGGGUGGCCGACGAGUUUACCUUGAAAAAAUUAGAGUGCUCAACGCGGGCUGACGCCUGAAUACUCGUGCAUGGAAUAAUGAAAUAGGAUCUCGGUUCUAUUUUGUUGGUUUUCUGAAUUGAGAUAAUGGUUAAGAGGGACGGACGGGGGCAUUCGUAUCGCUGCGUGAGAGGUGAAAUUCUUGGACCGUAGCGAGACGCCCGACUGCGAAAGCAUUUGCCAAGAAUGUCUUCAUUAAUCAAGAACGAAAGUCAGAGGUUC
rnacentral:rRNA from 1 species